rnacentral:rRNA from 1 species
UACGGGGGGGGGCAAGCGUUGUUCGGAAUUACUGGGCGUAAAGGGCUCGUAGGUGGCCAACUAAGUCAGACGUGAAAUCCCUCGGCUUAACCGGGGAACUGCCUCUGAUACUGGAUGGCUUGAGUUUGGGAGAGGGAUGCGGAAUUCCAGGUGUAGCGGUGAAAUGCGUAGAUAUCUGGAGGAACACCGGUGGCGAAGGCGGCAUCCUGGACCAAUACGUGACGCUGAGGAGCGAAAGCCAGGGGAGCAAAGCGGG